CUACGGGCUGCAGCAGUGGGGAAUAUUGCACAAUGGGCGAAAGCCUGAUGCAGCAACGCCGCGUGGGUGAUGAAGGCUUUCGGGUCGUAAAGCCCUGUCAGAGGGGAAGAAAGGAUAGUGGAGGAAAUGCCACUGUAUUGACGGUACCCUCAAAGGAAGCACCGGCUAACUCCGUGCCAGCAGCCGCGGUAAUACGGGGGGUGCUAUCGUUGUUCGGAAUCACUGGGCGUAAAGCGCGUGUAGGCGGAUGAUCAAGUCAGAUGUGAAAUCCCACGGCUCAACCGGGGACGUGCAUUUGAAACUGAUCGUCUAGAGUAAGGUAGAGGGAAGGGGAAUUCCCGGUGUAGAGGUGAAAUUCGUAGAUAUCGGGAGGAAUACCGGUGGCGAAGGCGCCUUCCUGGACCAUUACUGACGCUCAGACGCGAAAGCGUGGGUAGCAAACAGGAUUAGAUACCCCCGUAGUC
rnacentral:rRNA from 1 species